CGCUUUCGUCCUCUUACGGUGCGCUCGCGCGAUUGCAUUAAGAGCUUGCUCCUACACCGUCAAGCGCGGGCGCCGCGGUUCCAUCUGGGUAACCUGCAAUAAGACUGUUUCAACUCCGGGAAACCGGGGCUAAUACCGGAUAACAUUUUGAACCGCAUGGUUCGAAAUUGAAAGGCGGCUUCGGCUGUCACUUAUGGAUGGACCCGCCUCGCAUUAGCUAGUUGGUGAGGUAACGGCUCACCAAGGCAACGAUGCGUAGCCGACCUGAGAGGAUGAUGGGCCACACUGGGACUGAAACACGACCCAGACUUCUACGGGAGGCAGCAGUAGGGAAUCUUCCGCAAUGGACGAAAGUCUGACGGAGCAACGCCGCGUGAGUGAUGAAGGCUUUCGGGUCGUAAAACUCUGUUGUUAGGGAAGAACAAGUGCUAGUUGAAUAAGCUGGCACCUUGACGGUACCUAACCAGAAAGCCACGGCUAACUACGUGCCAGCAGCCGCGGUAAUACGUAGGUGGCAAGCGUUAUCCGGAAUUAUUGGGCGUAAAGCGCGCGCAGGUGGUUUCUUAAGUCUGAUGUGAAAGCCCACGGCUCAACCGUGGAGGGUCAUUGGAAACUGGGAGACUUGAGUGCAGAAGAGGAAAGUGGAAUUCCAUGUGUAGCGGUGAAAUGCGUAGAGAUAUGGAGGAACACCAGUGGCGAAGGCGACUUUCUGGUCUGUAACUGACACUGACGCGCGAAAGCGUGGGGAGCAAACAGGAUUAGAUACCCUGGUAGUCCACGCCGUAAACGAUGAGUGCUAAGUGUUAGAGGGUUUCCGCCCUUUAGUGCUGAAGUUAACGCAUUAAGCACUCCGCCUGGGGAGUACGGCCGCAAGGCUGAAACUCAGAGGAAUUGACGGGGGCCCGCACAAGCGGUGGAGCAUGUGGUUUAAUUCCAAGCAUCGCGAAUAACCUUACCAGUCUUGACAUCCUCUGACAACCCUAGAGAUUAGGGCUCCUCC
rnacentral:rRNA from 1 species